UGCGGGGUAGAGCAGUGGCAGCUCGUCGGGCUCAUAACCCGGAGGUCGUGCGUUCGAAUCGCACCCCCGCUACAA
rnacentral:tRNA from 1 species